rnacentral:rRNA from 1 species
UACGUAGGGUGCGAGCGUUAAUCGGAAUUACUGGGCGUAAAGCGUGCGCAGGCGGUUUUGUAAGCCAGAUGUGAAAUCCCCGGGCUUAACCUGGGAAUGGCGCUUGAGACUGGAUAGCUUGGAGUGUGGCAGAGGGAGGUGGAAUUCCACGUGUAGCAGUGAAAUGCGUAGAGAUGUGGAGGAACACCGAUGGCGAAGGCAGCCUCCUGGGCCAGCACUGACGCUCAUGCACGAAAGCGUGGGGAGCAAACAGG